rnacentral:rRNA from 1 species
CCUACGGGCGGCUGCAGUGGGGAAUAUUGGACAAUGGGCGCAAGCCUGAUCCAGCAAUGCCGCGUGUGUGAAGAAGGCCUUCGGGUUGUAAAGCACUUUUAUCAGGAGCGAAAUGCCAUGGGCCAAUACCCCGUGGAGCUGACGGUACCUGAGGAAUAAGCACCGGCUAACUUCGUGACAGCAGCCGCGGUAAUACGUAGGGUGCAAGCGUUGAUCGGAGUUACUGGGCGUGAAGGGUUAAGUCUGUGUUGAAAUCCCCGGGCGCAACCUGGGAAUGGCAAUGGAUACUGGCGGGCUAGAGUGUGUCAGAGGAUGGUGGAAUUCCCGGUGUAGCGGUGAAAUGCGUAGAGAUCGGGAGGAACAUCAGUGGCGAAGGCGGCCAUCUGGGACAACACUGACGCUGAAGCACGAAAGCGUGGGGAGCAAACAGGAUUAGAUACCCCAGUAGUC